ACAAGAGGGGGGGGUUUAACCCAUGCAAGGUCGAACGAUGAACCACUUCGGUGGGGAUUAGUGGCGAACGGGUGAGUAACACGUGGGCAAUCUGCCCUGCACUCUGGGACAAGCCCUGGAAACGGGGUCUAAUACCGGAUACUGACCUUCACGGGCAUCUGUGAAGGUCGAAAGCUCCGGCGGUGCAGGAUGAGCCCGCGGCCUAUCAGCUUGUUGGUGAGGUAAUGGCUCACCAAGGCGACGACGGGUAGCCGGCCUGAGAGGGCGACCGGCCACACUGGGACUGAGACACGGCCCAGACUCCUACGGGAGGCAGCAGUGGGGAAUAUUGCACAAUGGGCGAAAGCCUGAUGCAGCGACGCCGCGUGAGGGAUGACGGCCUUCGGGUUGUAAACCUCUUUCAGCAGGGAAGAAGCGAAAGUGACGGUACCUGCAGAAGAAGCGCCGGCUAACUACGUGCCAGCAGCCGCGGUAAUACGUAGGGCGCAAGCGUUGUCCGGAAUUAUUGGGCGUAAAGAGCUCGUAGGCGGCUUGUCACGUCGGUUGUGAAAGCCCGGGGCUUAACCCCGGGUCUGCAGUCGAUACGGGCAGGCUAGAGUUCGGUAGGGGAGAUCGGAAUUCCUGGUGUAGCGGUGAAAUGCGCAGAUAUCAGGAGGAACACCGGUGGCGAAGGCGGAUCUCUGGGCCGAUACUGACGCUGAGGAGCGAAAGCGUGGGGAGCGAACAGGAUUAGAUACCCUGGUAGUCCACGCCGUAAACGGUGGGCACUAGGUGUGGGCAACAUUCCACGUUGUCCGUGCCGCAGCUAACGCAUUAAGUGCCCCGCCUGGGGGAAGUACGAG
rnacentral:rRNA from 1 species